rnacentral:rRNA from 1 species
UACGUAGGUGGCAAGCGUUGUCCGGAUUUACUGGGCGUAAAGAGCGCGCAGGCGGUCGUUUAAGUCGAAUGUGAAAGCCCCCGGCUCAACUGGGGAGGGUCAUUCGAUACUGAUCGACUUGAAGGCAGGAGAGGGAAGCGGAAUUCCGGGUGUAGUGGUGAAAUGCGUAGAUAUCACUCGGAAGGCCAACGGCGAAGGCAGGUCACUGGAGCGCAACUGACGCUGAGGCACGAAAGCGUGGGGAGCAAACAGG